UAAUACGUAGGGUGCGAGCGUUAAUCGGAAUUACUGGGCGUAAAGCGUGCGCAGGCGGUUUGCUAAGACAGGUGUGAAAUCCCCGGGCUUAACCUGGGAACUGCGCUUGUGACUGGCAGGCUAGAGUACGGCAGAGGGGGGUGGAAUUCCACGUGUAGCAGUGAAAUGCGUAGAGAUGUGGAGGAACACCGAUGGCGAAGGCAGCCCCCUGGGCCUGUACUGACGCUCAUGCACGAAAGCGUGGGGAGCAAACAGGAUUAGAUACCCUGGUAGUCCACGCCCUAAACGAUGUCAACUAGUCGUUCGGAGCGGUAACGCACUGAGUGACGCAGCUAACGCGUGAA
rnacentral:rRNA from 1 species